GACGAGCCACACAAACGUUAUUCGGAAUCACUGGGCUUAAAGGGUGCGUAGGCUGCGCGGAAAGUGGGGUGUGAAAGCCCUCGGCUUAACCGAGGAAUUGCGCUCCAAACUACCGUGCUCGAGGGAGACAGAGGUAAGCGGAACUUCGGGUGGAGCGGUGAAAUGCGUUGAUAUCCGAAGGAACACCGGUGGCGAAAGCGGCUUACUGGGUCUUCUCUGACGCUGAUGCACGAAAGCCAGGGUAGCAAACGGG
rnacentral:rRNA from 1 species